UGAACACAGGUCUCCGCAGACUUCCAUG
rnacentral:sRNA from 1 species